GACGAACGCUGGCGGCGUGCUUAACACAUGCAAGUCGAACGGUGACGAGGAGCUUGCUCCUCUGAUCAGUGGCGAACGGGUGAGUAACACGUGAGCAACCUGCCCCAGACUCUGGGAUAACAGUUGGAAACAGCUGCUAAUACCGGAUACGAGACGGAGAGGCAUCUCUACCGUCUGGAAAGUUUUUCGGUCUGGGAUGGACUCGCGGCCUAUCAGCUAGUUGGUGAGGUAAUGGCUCACCAAGGCGACGACGGGUAGCCGGCCUGAGGAGGCGACCGGCCACACGUGGGACUGAGACGACCGGCCCAGACUCCGUACGGGGAGGCAGCAGGU
rnacentral:rRNA from 1 species